rnacentral:miRNA from 1 species
UAUCACAGCCAUUUUUGAUGUUU